rnacentral:tRNA from 17 species
GGUCGGGAUAGCUCAGCUGG